UUAUUUUGUUUAUAUAAAACGGUUACAUUCAUUAAACUAGGGGUUUGUAUAAAAUGAUUGGCUUUCGAUUGCUCAAAAGCCAAAACAGUGCACAGGUGUAUGUGGAUUGUGAAGGGUUGGGGAGGUCAGUUAAGACGCUCCCCGAUGUAUUCACUAGUGAUCCUUCCGCAGGUUCACCUACGGAAA
rnacentral:misc_RNA from 1 species